GAUGAACGCUGGCGGCGUGCUUAACACAUGCAAGUCGAACGGUGAAGCAGGAGCUUGCUCUUGUGGAUCAGUGGCGAACGGGUGAGUAACACGUGAGCAACCUGCCCCUGACUCUGGGAUAAGCGCUGGAAACGGCGUCUAAUACUGGAUAUGUGAUGUGACCGCAUGGUCUGCAUCUGGAAAGAAUUUCGGUUGGGGAUGGGCUCGCGGCCUAUCAGCUUGUUGGUGAGGUAAUGGCUCACCAAGGCGUCGACGGGUAGCCGGCCUGAGAGGGUGACCUGCCACACUGGGACUGAGACACGGCCAAGAAUCCUACGGGAGGCAGCAGUGGGGAAUAUUGCACAAUGGGCGGAAGCCUGAUGCAGCAACGCCGCGUGAGGGAUGACGGCCUUCGGGUUGUAAACCUCUUUUAGCAGGGAAGAAGCGAAAGUGACGGUACCUGCAGAAAAGGCACCGGCUAACUACGUGCCAGCCGCCGCCGUAA
rnacentral:rRNA from 1 species